GCCGAAGUGGCGGAACUGGUAGACGCGCUAGGUUCAGGGUCUAGUGCCCGUUAGGGUGUGGGAGUUCGAAUCUCCCCUUCGGCACCA
rnacentral:tRNA from 1 species